AAAAAGCUCGUAGUUGGAUUUCGGAAUGCGUCUGUCAAAGCCCGUCCAAGUGGCGUGGCUCGACUGGACGCUUCCUGUCUUUGGGUAAUGGCCGUCGCUUCGGUGGCGGAUCGUUCCUAAUUGUUUACUUUGAAAAAAUUAGCGCGUUCAAAGCAGGUUUAUAUGCCUUGAAUAGUUUAGCAUGGGAUAAUAGAAUAGGACUUUGGCCUUAUUUUAUUGGUUUCUAAAGCUGAGGUAAUGAUUAAUAGGGACAGUUGGGGUCGGUCGUAUUGAAUCGUCAGAGGUGAAAUUCUAUGAUUGAUUCAAGACGAACUGGUGCGAAAGCGUCCGACAAGGAUGUUUCCGUUAAUCAAGAACGAAAGUUGGGGGAUCGAAGAUGAUCAGAUACCGUCGUAGUCCUAACCAUAAACUAUGUGGACCAAGGAUCCGAGGAAGUUACAUGGAUGACUCUCCGGGCACUUUGUGAGAAAUCAGAGUAUUUGCAUUCCGGGGGGAGUAUGGCCGCAAGACUGAAACUUAAAGG
rnacentral:rRNA from 1 species